UGCUGAUAGCCGGCUAGCUAGCUAGCGCCGCUAGCUUAGCUAGCUAGCGCCGCUAGCGACCCUUCGUGAAAAUGAACCCAGGCUUGGCUUAUAGUGACGCGGCUGAAACUCGUUUCAACACCCGAUCGCUCGCCAACAGUCUGUGUUUUAGCUGGACUUAUUUUUCGUUUAUAUGGGCCGAUGAUACUGGAAACCGAAGGCAGGAGCGUGAGGUGAACUGAAUUUCAGAGUGAACGAGAUCUUUGGUUUUGCCUUUGCUGACUGCUGAUCUGAUCGUCUCAAGUCUGGUGACCUGCUGCAGAAAACCCUCUCCCUCUAUCUUUGACAAAUGGUAAAUGGCCUGUAUUUAUAUAGCGCUUUAAUAGUCCCUAAGGACCCCAAAGCGCUUUACAUAUCCAGUCAUCCACCCAUUCACACACUGGUGAUGGCAAGCUACAUUAUAGCCACAGCCACCCUGGGGGGGACUGACAGAGGCGAGGCUGCCGGACACUGGCGCCACCAGGCCCUCUGACCACCACCAGUAGGCAACGGGUGAAGUGUCUUGCCCAAGGACACAACGACCGAGACUGUCCAAGCCGGGGCUCGAACCGGCAACCUUCUGAUUACAAGGCGAACUCCCAACUCUUGAGCCACGACAAGCCGUUAACAAGCAAAUUCAGUCUGUCCUAUCACUCUCCCUCUCCCUGCUCCAUCUUUUUUGACAAGCCAUUCUAUCUUCUAUCAUUUCUCCACCAUGAG
ensembl:lncRNA